AGAGUUUGAUCAUGGCUCAGGAUUAACGCUGGCGGUAUGCCUAACACAUGCAAGUCGAACGGAAUACUAAUUAAGAGAAUCUCACACUAGUGAGAGGUUCUCACGAGUAGUAUUUAGUGGCGGACGGGUGAGUAACACGUUGGAACCUGCCCCGAAGUGGGGAAUAACUGCUCGAAAGAGUAGCUAAUACCCCAUAGUAUCCGGUUUAUCCGGAUUAAAGAUUUAUCGCUUCGGGAGGGGCCUGCGUCUGAUUAGCUAGUUGGUGAGGUAAAAGCUCACCAAGGCGACGAUCAGUAGCUGGUUCGAGAGGAUGACCAGCCACACUGGGACUGAGAUACGGCCCAGACUCCUACGGGAGGCAGCAGUGAGGAAUCUUCCACAAUGGGCGCAAGCCUGAUGGAGCAAUACCGCGUGCAGGAAGACGCUUUUCGGAGUGUAAACUGCUUUUGUCGUCGAAGAUUAUGACUGUAGACGAAGAAUAAGGACCGGCUAACUACGUG
rnacentral:rRNA from 1 species